AAGAAACAUACUCAAAAACUAAUUUACAAUCUAGUAGAGGAGUACUAGCUUGUCUAGUAGUUAUUAGAGUUAACAAACAAAACUAAGAAACAAUAAAAUGAAACUAAAAAAUCUAAAAUGAUACAAGAAAAACCAUAGAACUCACGAAACGGUCUCAAAAUAGUCCACAAAUGAAGGAGAACCCAAGAGCAUAAAGAAACCAAGUCUCGGCUUCAAC
rnacentral:lncRNA from 1 species